UACGUAGGCAGCGAGCGUUGUUCGGAAUUACUGGGCGUAAAGGGUGCGUAGGUGGCUUGGUAAGUUCGAUGUGAAAUCUCCGGGCUUAACCCGGAAAUGGCAUUGAAUACUAUUGAGCUGGAGGUUUGGAGGGGGGACUGGAAUUCUCGGUGUAGCAGUGAAAUGCGUAGAUAUCGAGAGGAACACCAGUGGCGAAGGCGGCCUUCUGGACAGUGACUGACGCUGAGACGCGAAAAGCGUGGGGAGCAAACAGG
rnacentral:rRNA from 1 species